rnacentral:miRNA from 1 species
CAAAGUCCUUCCUAUUUUUCCC